CCUACGGGAGGCAGCAGUGAGGAAUAUUGGUCAAUGGACGAGAGUCUGAACCAGCCAAGUAGCGUGAAGGAUGACUGCCCUAUGGGUUGUAAACUUCUGUUAUAGGGGAAUAAAAUGUGCCACGUGUGGGAGUUUGUAUGUACCAUAUGAAGAAGGAUCGGCUAACUCCGUGCCAGCAGCCGCGGUAAUACGGAGGAGCCGAGCGUUAUCCGGAUUUAUUGGGUUGAAAGGGAGCGUAGGUGGAUUGUGAAGUCAGUUGGGAAAGUUUGCGGCUCAACCGUAAAAUUGCAGUUGAAACGGGCAGUCUUGAGUACAGUAGCGGUGGGCGGAUUUCGUGGUGUAGCGGUGACAUGCUUAGAUCUCAC
rnacentral:rRNA from 1 species